rnacentral:rRNA from 1 species
GGGUUGUGAGGUUAAGCGACUAAGCGUACACGGUGGAUGCCCUGGCAGUCAGAGGCGAUGAAGGACGUGCUAAUCUGCGAUAAGCGUCGGUAAGGUGAUAUGAACCGUUAUAACCGGCGAUUUCCGAAUGGGGAAACCCAGUGUGAUUCGUCACACUAUCAUUAACUGAAUCCAUAGGUUAAUGAGGCGAACCGGGGGAACUGAAACAUCUAAGUACCCCGAGGAAAAGAAAUCAACCGAGAUUCCCCCAGUAGCGGCGAGCGAACGGGGAGCAGCCCAGAGCCUGAAUCAGUGUGUGUGUUAGUGGAAGCGUCUGGAAAGGCGCGCGAUACAGGGUGACAGCCCCGUACACAAAAAUGCACAUGCUGUGAGCUCGAUGAGUAGGGCGGGACACGUGGUAUCCUGUCUGAAUAUGGGGGGACCAUCCUCCAAGGCUAAAUACUCCUGACUGACCGAUAGUGAACCAGUACCGUGAGGGAAAGGCGAAAAGAACCCCGGCGAGGGGAGUGAAAAAGAACCUGAAACCGUGUACGUACAAGCAGUGGGAGCACGCUUAGGCGUGUGACUGCGUACCUUUUGUAUAAUGGGUCAGCGACUUAUAUUCUGUAGCAAGGUUAACCGAAUAGGGGAGCCGAAGGGAAACCGAGUCUUAACUGGGCGUUAAGUUGCAGGGUAUAGACCCGAAACCCGGUGAUCUAGCCAUGGGCAGGUUGAAGGUUGGGUAACACUAACUGGAGGACCGAACCGACUAAUGUUGAAAAAUUAGCGGAUGACUUGUGGCUGGGGGUGAAAGGCCAAUCAAACCGGGAGAUAGCUGGUUCUCCCCGAAAGCUAUUUAGGUAGCGCCUCGUGAAUUCAUCUCCGGGGGUAGAGCACUGUUUCGGCAAGGGGGUCAUCCCGACUUACCAACCCGAUGCAAACUGCGAAUACCGGAGAAUGUUAUCACGGGAGACACACGGCGGGUGCUAACGUCCGUCGUGAAGAGGGAAACAACCCAGACCGCCAGCUAAGGUCCCAAAGUCAUGGUUAAGUGGGAAACGAUGUGGGAAGGCCCAGACAGCCAGGAUGUUGGCUUAGAAGCAGCCAUCAUUUAAAGAAAGCGUAAUAGCUCACUGGUCGAGUCGGCCUGCGCGGAAGAUGUAACGGGGCUAAACCAUGCACCGAAGCUGCGGCAGCGACGCUUAUGCGUUGUUGGGUAGGGGAGCGUUCUGUAAGCCUGUGAAGGUGUGCUGUGAGGCAUGCUGGAGGUAUCAGAAGUGCGAAUGCUGACAUAAGUAACGAUAAAGCGGGUGAAAAGCCCGCUCGCCGGAAGACCAAGGGUUCCUGUCCAACGUUAAUCGGGGCAGGGUGAGUCGACCCCUAAGGCGAGGCCGAAAGGCGUAGUCGAUGGGAAACAGGUUAAUAUUCCUGUACUUGGUGUUACUGCGAAGGGGGGACGGAGAAGGCUAUGUUGGCCGGGCGACGGUUGUCCCGGUUUAAGCGUGUAGGCUGGUUUUCCAGGCAAAUCCGGAAAAUCAAGGCUGAGGCGUGAUGACGAGGCACUACGGUGCUGAAGCAACAAAUGCCCUGCUUCCAGGAAAAGCCUCUAAGCAUCAGGUAACAUCAAAUCGUACCCCAAACCGACACAGGUGGUCAGGUAGAGAAUACCAAGGCGCUUGAGAGAACUCGGGUGAAGGAACUAGGCAAAAUGGUGCCGUAACUUCGGGAGAAGGCACGCUGAUAUGUAGGUGAAGUCCCUCGCGGAUGGAGCUGAAAUCAGUCGAAGAUACCAGCUGGCUGCAACUGUUUAUUAAAAACACAGCACUGUGCAAACACGAAAGUGGACGUAUACGGUGUGACGCCUGCCCGGUGCCGGAAGGUUAAUUGAUGGGGUUAGCGCAAGCGAAGCUCUUGAUCGAAGCCCCGGUAAACGGCGGCCGUAACUAUAACGGUCCUAAGGUAGCGAAAUUCCUUGUCGGGUAAGUUCCGACCUGCACGAAUGGCGUAAUGAUGGCCAGGCUGUCUCCACCCGAGACUCAGUGAAAUUGAACUCGCUGUGAAGAUGCAGUGUACCCGCGGCAAGACGGAAAGACCCCGUGAACCUUUACUAUAGCUUGACACUGAACAUUGAGCCUUGAUGUGUAGGAUAGGUGGGAGGCUUUGAAGUGUGGACGCCAGUCUGCAUGGAGCCGACCUUGAAAUACCACCCUUUAAUGUUUGAUGUUCUAACGUGGACCCGUAAUCCGGGUUGCGGACAGUGUCUGGUGGGUAGUUUGACUGGGGCGGUCUCCUCCUAAAGAGUAACGGAGGAGCACGAAGGUUGGCUAAUCCUGGUCGGACAUCAGGAGGUUAGUGCAAUGGCAUAAGCCAGCUUGACUGCGAGCGUGACGGCGCGAGCAGGUGCGAAAGCAGGUCAUAGUGAUCCGGUGGUUCUGAAUGGAAGGGCCAUCGCUCAACGGAUAAAAGGUACUCCGGGGAUAACAGGCUGAUACCGCCCAAGAGUUCAUAUCGACGGCGGUGUUUGGCACCUCGAUGUCGGCUCAUCACAUCCUGGGGCUGAAGUAGGUCCCAAGGGUAUGGCUGUUCGCCAUUUAAAGUGGUACGCGAGCUGGGUUUAGAACGUCGUGAGACAGUUCGGUCCCUAUCUGCCGUGGGCGCUGGAGAACUGAGGGGGGCUGCUCCUAGUACGAGAGGACCGGAGUGGACGCAUCACUGGUGUUCGGGUUGUCAUGCCAAUGGCACUGCCCGGUAGCUAAAUGCGGAAGAGAUAAGUGCUGAAAGCAUCUAAGCACGAAACUUGCCCCGAGAUGAGUUCUCCCUGAC